CUUAUGCCUUUUUGUUUCUCAUAUCCUGAUAUCUGGUGAUUUUUUUUCAAGUUGUUUCUCGUUGAGUCUGCUGUCACCAGGUAUGGCAACGUUGACGAUCCACACUUGUUUCUUCUCUACAAUCCUGAUAUCCAGGGUGUUGUGUUCCAAAACUUUAUUAGUCUGUAUUCAGAAGUCCCACAGU